rnacentral:rRNA from 1 species
GGUUCCUGUCCAACGUUAAUCGGGGCAGGGUGAGUCGACCCCUAAGGCGAGGCCGAAAGGCGUAGUCGAUGGGAAACAGGUUAAUAUUCCUGUACUUGGUGUUACUGCGAAGGGGGGACGGAGAAGGCUAUGUUGGCCGGGCGACGGUUGUCCCGGUUUAAGCGUGUAGGCUGGUUUUCCAGGCAAAUCCGGAAAACCAAGGCUGAGGCGUGAUGACGAGGCACUACGGUGCUGAAGCGACAAAUGCCCUGCUUCCAGGAAAAGCCUCUAAGCAUCAGGUAACAUCAAAUCGUACCCCAAACCGACACAGGUGGUCAGGUAGAGAAUACCAAGGCGCUUGAGAGAACUCGGGUGAAGGAACUAGGCAAAAUGGUGCCGUAACUUCGGGAGAAGGCACGCUGAUAUGUAGGUGAAGCGACUUGCUCGUGGAGCUGAAAUCAGUCGAAGAUACCAGCUGGCUGCAACUGUUUAUUAAAAACACAGCACUGUGCAAACACGAAAGUGGACGUAUACGGUGUGACGCCUGCCCGGUGCCGGAAGGUUAAUUGAUGGGGUUAGCGGCAACGCGAAGCUCUUGAUCGAAGCCCCGGUAAACGGCGGCCGUAACUAUAACGGUCCUAAGGUAGCGAAAUUCCUUGUCGGGUAAGUUCCGACCUGCACGAAUGGCGUAAUGAUGGCCAGGCUGUCUCCACCCGAGACUCAGUGAAAUUGAACUCGCUGUGAAGAUGCAGUGUACCCGCGGCAAGACGGAAAGACCCCGUGAACCUUUACUAUAGCUUGACACUGAACAUUGAGCCUUGAUGUGUAGGAUAGGUGGGAGGCUUUGAAGUGUGGACGCCAGUCUGCAUGGAGCCGACCUUGAAAUACCACCCUUUAAUGUUUGAUGUUCUAACGUUGGCCCCUAAUCGGGGUUGCGGACAGUGUCUGGUGGGUAGUUUGACUGGGGCGGUCUCCUCCUAAAGAGUAACGGAGGAGCACGAAGGUUGGCUAAUCCUGGUCGGACAUCAGGAGGUUAGUGCAAUGGCAUAAGCCAGCUUGACUGCGAGCGUGACGGCGCGAGCAGGUGCGAAAGCAGGUCAUAGUGAUCCGGUGGUUCUGAAUGGAAGGGCCAUCGCUCAACGGAUAAAAGGUACUCCGGGGAUAACAGGCUGAUACCGCCCAAGAGUUCAUAUCGACGGCGGUGUUUGGCACCUCGAUGUCGGCUCAUCACAUCCUGGGGCUGAAGUAGGUCCCAAGGGUAUGGCUGUUCGCCAUUUAAAGUGGUACGCGAGCUGGGUUUAGAACGUCGUGAGACAGUUCGGUCCCUAUCUGCCGUGGGCGCUGGAGAACUGAGGGGGGCUGCUCCUAGUACGAGAGGACCGGAGUGGACGCAUCAC